AAUGUUGAUUUGUAAUAUUAGAAUAUGAAAAGCAAAUAUUCUAAAGCGCUCCCCUCUAAGAUCUUUGAUAAAAAAAAAACAAUACCAGGAUACUUUAUCAAAACAAUUUGAUCAUCUGCUUGCACACUAGACACUGACUUUUAAAUGUCUUAUUUAUUUACGGACCCUAACUCCAACAGACCAGUGUUUGGACCAACAUCAUCUGCGCCACAAAUACUGUCUUCAAAAUCCUGUGACCUGGGCAGCGGAGAAGCCGUGAUCGUGACGCAGAAGCCAACACAAUCUCAAGCACCAGUUUGGUCGCUGCCCUCUCAAGAAUGUAUGCAGUGCUGUCAUCAAGAUCAAUGUGGCGAUGCCCCUUUCUAUGCCCACCCAUACAGACUGCAAUAUAACGUGACCCCUCAAAGCUCCCUGUGGUGUUCUUCGGGGGAACCUCCCCCUCCUCCAGCAUUAGGCCUACUGUCAGACGACGUGUGCCCAGUUAUGGUGUCCAUGGUGGUGGCCGGUAUUCCGGUCGUACCAGCGGCAGACGGGACAAUCGGUAAAGUUUUGGCAGCCGCCCAUCGUUUCAUACGAUUUGAGCGGGCGGGGCGUCACAUCAAAAACAGUCCCAGGCAACCUGCAACACCUGCUGCUCACUUCAUAUCAACACAUCGGGAUCAGACACAAUGAAAUAAAAUGAUGUUAAAUUCAUCAA